AGAGUUUGAUCCUGGCUCAGAACGAACGCUGGCGGCGCGUCUUAAGCAUGCAAGUCGAACGGCAAGAGAGAAGCUUGCUUCUCUCCUAGAGUGGCGGACUGGUGAGGAACACGUGGGUAAUCUGCCCUUAAGAUGGGGAUAGCUGCUAGAAAUAGCAGGUAAUACCGAAUACACUCGGCACUUCACAAGAGGUGUUGAGGAAAGGAAGCUAUGGCUUCGCUUGAGGAUGAGCUUGCGUCCCAUUAGCUAGUUGGUGAGGUAAAGGCCCACCAAGGCGACGAUGGGUAUCCGGCCUGAGAGGGUGAUCGGACACAUUGGGACUGAGAUACGGCCCAAACUCCUACGGGAGGCAGCAGCUAAGAAUAUUCCGCAAUGGACGGAAGUCUGACGGAGCGACGCCGCGUGGAUGAAGAAGGCUGAAAAGUUGUAAAAUCCUUUUGUUGAUGAAGAAUAAGGGUGAGAGGGAAUGCUCAUCUGAUGACGGUAAUCGACGAAUAAGCCCCGGCUAAUUACGUGCCAGCAGCCGCGGUAACACGUAAGGGGCGAGCGUUGUUCGGAAUUAUUGGGCGUAAAGGGCAUGUAGGCGGUUGUGUAAGCCUGGUGUGAAAUCCUGGGGCUUAACCCCAGAAUAGCAUUGGGUACUGCACGACUUGAAUUACGGAAGGGAAACUGGAAUUCCAAGUGUAGGGGUGGAAUCUGUAGAUAUUUGGAAGAACACCGGUGGCGAAGGCGGGUUUCUGGCCGAUAAUUGACGCUGAGAUGCGAAAGUGUGGGGAUCGAACAGGAUUAGAUACCCUGGUAGUCCACACUGUAAACGAUGUACACUAGGUGUUGGGGCAAGAGCUUCAGUGCCAAAGCAAACGCGAUAAGUGUACCGCCUGGGGAGUAUGCCCGCAAGGGUGAAACUCAAAGGAAUUGACGGGGGCCCGCACAAGCGGUGGAGCAUGUGGUUUAAUUCGAAGCAACGCGAAGAACCUUA
rnacentral:rRNA from 1 species